rnacentral:tRNA from 1 species
GUGGGUGUAGCUCAGUUGGUAGAGCACCGGGUUGUGGCCCCGGUUGGCGUGGGUUCAAGUCCCAUCACUCACCCCA